AUUGAACGCUGGCGGCAUGCCUUACACAUGCAAGUCGAACGGUAACGGGCCUUCGGGUGCCGACGAGUGGCGAACGGGUGCGUAAUACAUCGGAACGUGCCCGAUCGUGGGGGAUAACGAGGCGAAAGCUUUGCUAAUACCGCAUACGAUCUACGGAUGAAAGCAGGGGACCGCAAGGCCUUGCGCGGACGGAGCGGCCGAUGGCAGAUUAGGUAGUUGGUGGGAUAAAAGCUUACCAAGCCGACGAUCUGUAGCUGGUCUGAGAGGAUGAUCAGCCACACUGGGACUGAGACACGGCCCAGACUCCUACGGGAGGCAGCAGUGGGGAAUUUUGGACAAUGGGCGCAAGCCUGAUCCAGCCAUGCCGCGUGCAGGAUGAAGGCCCUCGGGUUGUAAACUGCUUUUGUACGGAACGAAAAGCCUUCUUUUAAUACAGGAGGGUCAUGACGGUACCGGAAGAAUAAGCACCGGCUAACUACGUG
rnacentral:rRNA from 1 species